UGCCGAGAACCGUGAGGAAACGUCUCCCCUUGCGGAUCAGGUGAAAUACAAGAAAAAGAGGAG
rfam:Geobacter sp. OR-1 DNA, contig: OR1_contig000009.